AGACACGGCCCCCACUCCUACGGGAGGCAGCAGCAGGGAAUCUUGCACAAUGGGCGAAAGCCUGAUGCAGCGACGCCGCGUGAGGGAUGAAGGUUUUAGGAUCGUAAACCUCUUUUCUUAGGGAAUAGUUUGGAAGGUACCUAAGGAAUAAGUCACGGCUAACUACGUGCCAGCAGCCGCGGUAAUACGUAGGUGGCAAAUGUUGUCCGGAAUCAUUGGGCGUAAAGGGUCCGUAGGUGGCUUGAAAAGUCUUAUGUGAAAUCUCUUGGCUCAACCAAGAAACGCCAUAAGAAACUUUCUAGCUAGAGACCAUCAGAGGGAGGUAGAAUUCCAGGUGUAGUGGUGAAAUGCGUAGAUAUCUGGAGGAAUACCAAUGGCGAAAGCAGCCUCCUGGGGUGAAUCUGACAUUGAGGGACGAAAGCGUGGGUAGCAAACCGGAUUAGAUACCCGGGUAGUCCAUGCCGUAAACGAUGAAUACUGGGUCUUCGGGGAAUCGACCCCCUGUGGACCGAAGCUAACGCGUUAAGUAUUCCGCCUGGGGAGUACGGUCGCAAGACUAAAACUCAAAGGAAUUGACGGGGGCCCGCACAAGCAGCGGAGCGUGUGGUUUAAUUCGAUGGUAAACGAAGAACCUUACCUAGGUUUGACAUAUAAGUAGUACUGACCCGAAAGGUGAUGGACCCGCAAGGGAGCUUAUACAGGUGCUGCAUGGUUGUCGUCAGCUCGUGCCGUGAGGUGUUGGGUUAAGUCCCGCAACGAGCGCAACCCUCGUGGAUAGUUGUUUUCUUUAUCCAGACUGCUUUUAAAGAGGAAGGUGGGGACGACGUCAAAUCAUCAUGGCUCUUACACCUAGGGCUACACACACGCUACAAUGGACAGUACAGACGGUUGCUAAGUCGCAAGAUGGAGCCAAUCCGAUAAAGCUGUCCCCAAUUGGGAUUGUAGGCUGAAACUCGCCUGCAUGAACCUGGAGUUGCUAGUAACCGCGUAUCAGCAUGCUGCGGUGAAUACGUUCCCGGGCCUUGUACACACCGCCCGUCACGUCAUGGAAGUUUGAAACACUUGAAGUCGUUGGGCUUACCCUUAUGGGACGCAGACGCCGAGAGUGGGGCAAAUGACUGGGACGAAGUCGUAACAAGGUAGCUGUACCGGAAGGUGCGGCUG
rnacentral:rRNA from 1 species